AGGACGAACGCUGGCGGCGUGCUUAACACAUGCAAGUCGAGCGGAAAGGCCCUUCGGGGUACUCGAGCGGCGAACGGGUGAGUAACACGUGGGCAACCUGCCCCUAGCUCUGGGAUAACUCCGGGAAACCGGUGCUAAUACCGGAUACGACCUCAUUAGGCAUCCUUUGAGGUGGAAAGAUUUAUUGGCUAGGGAUGGGCCCGCGGCCUAUCAGCUUGUUGGUGGGGUAAUGGCCUACCAAGGCGACGACGGGUAGCCGGCCUGAGAGGGCGACCGGCCACGACUGGGACUGAGACACGGCCCAGACUCCUACGGGAGGCAGCAGUGGGGAAUAUUGGACAAUGGGCGCAAGCCUGAUCCAGCAAUGCCGCGUGGGUGAAGAAGGUCUUCGGGAUUGUAAAGCCCUUUCGGCGGGGACGAUGAUGACGGUACCCGCAGAAGAAGCCCCGGCUAACUUCGUGCCAGCAGCCGC
rnacentral:rRNA from 1 species